rnacentral:rRNA from 1 species
AGAGUUUGAUCCUGGCUCAGAUUGAACGCUGGCGGCAUGCUUUACACAUGCAAGUCGGACGGCAGCACAGGGAAGCUUGCUUCUCGGGUGGCGAGUGGCGAACGGGUGAGUAACAUAUCGGAACGUACCGGGUAGCGGGGGAUAACUGAUCGAAAGAUCAGCUAAUACCGCAUACGUCUUGAGAGGGAAAGCAGGGGACCUUCGGGCCUUGCGCUAUCCGAGCGGCUGAUAUCUGAUUAGCUGGUUGGCGGGGUAAAGGCCCACCAAGGCGACGAUCAGUAGCGGGUCUGAGAGGAUGAUCCGCCACACUGGGACUGAGACACGGCCCAGACUCCUACGGGAGGCAGCAGUGGGGAAUUUUGGACAAUGGGCGCAAGCCUGAUCCAGCCAUGCCGCGUGUCUGAAGAAGGCCUUCGGGUUGUAAAGGACUUUUGUCAGGGAAGAAAAGGCUGUUGCCAAUAUCGGCGGCCGAUGACGGUACCUGAAGAAUAAGCACCGGCUAACUACGUGCCAGCAGCCGCGGUAAUACGUAGGGUGCGAGCGUUAAUCGGAAUUACUGGGCGUAAAGCGGGCGCAGACGGUUACUUAAGCAGGAUGUGAAAUCCCCGGGCUCAACCCGGGAACUGCGUUCUGAACUGGGUGACUCGAGUGUGUCAGAGGGAGGUGGAAUUCCACGUGUAGCAGUGAAAUGCGUAGAGAUGUGGAGGAAUACCGAUGGCGAAGGCAGCCUCCUGGGAUAACACUGACGUUCAUGUCCGAAAGCGUGGGUAGCAAACAGGAUUAGAUACCCUGGUAGUCCACGCCCUAAACGAUGUCAAUUAGCUGUUGGGCAACUUGAUUGCUUGGUAGCGUAGCUAACGCGUGAAAUUGACCGCCUGGGGAGUACGGUCGCAAGAUUAAAACUCAAAGGAAUUGACGGGGACCCGCACAAGCGGUGGAUGAUGUGGAUUAAUUCGAUGCAACGCGAAGAACCUUACCUGGUUUUGACAUGUGCGGAAUCCUCCGGAGACGGAGGAGUGCCUUCGGGAGCCGUAACACAGGUGCUGCAUGGCUGUCGUCAGCUCGUGUCGUGAGAUGUUGGGUUAAGUCCCGCAACGAGCGCAACCCUUGUCAUUAGUUGCCAUCAUUCGGUUGGGCACUCUAAUGAGACUGCCGGUGACAAGCCGGAGGAAGGUGGGGAUGACGUCAAGUCCUCAUGGCCCUUAUGACCAGGGCUUCACACGUCAUACAAUGGUCGGUACAGAGGGUAGCCAAGCCGCGAGGCGGAGCCAAUCUCACAAAACCGAUCGUAGUCCGGAUUGCACUCUGCAACUCGAGUGCAUGAAGUCGGAAUCGCUAGUAAUCGCAGGUCAGCAUACUGCGGUGAAUACGUUCCCGGGUCUUGUACACACCGCCCGUCACACCAUGGGAGUGGGGGAUACCAGAAGUAGGUAGGGUAACCGCAAGGAGCCCGCUUACCACGGUAUGCUUCAUGACUGGGGUGAAGUCGUAACAAGGUAGCCGUAGGGGAACCUGCGGCUGGAUCACCU